rfam:Candidatus Buchananbacteria bacterium RIFCSPLOWO2_01_FTLL_46_12 rifcsplowo2_01_scaffold_173821, whole genome shotgun sequence.
CGGAAUCGCUAGUAAUCGCAGGUCAGCUAUACUGCGGUGAAUACGUUCUCGAGUCUUGUACUCACCGCCCGUCAACUCAAGGAAGCCGGGAGUAGAUGAAGACCACGCUAUGCGUGAUCUAGUCUAAGCUCGGUGACAGGGAGUAAGUCGUAACAAGGCACGGCUAGCGGAAGCUGGUCGUGGAGUUUCUCUUUU